UACAGAGGUCUCAAGCGUUGUUCGGAUUCAUUGGGCGUAAAGGGUGCGUAGGCGGCGCGGUAAGUCGGGUGUGAAAUUUCGGAGCUUAACUCCGAAACUGCAUUCGAUACUGCGGUGCUUGAGGACUGGAGAGGAGACUGGAAUUCAUGGUGUAGCAGUGAAAUGCGUAGAGAUCAUGAGGAAGACCAGUGGCGAAGGCGGGUCUCUGGACAGUUCCUGACACUGAGGCACGAAGGCCAGGGGAGCAAACAGG
rnacentral:rRNA from 1 species